UAGGGGGUAGUAUAAACGGAAGUACUAAAAAUUUUGAAUUUUUGGGUAUAGGUUCGAUUCCUUUCUCUCUAG
rnacentral:tRNA from 1 species